rnacentral:misc_RNA from 1 species
UCCUAGUUAACCUAGGCAGUCUCACUAGAGUCCCCACCUUUCGUGUUGGCAACUAAUGAUAAGGGUUGCGCUCGUUGCGGGACUUAACCCAACACCUCACGGCACGAGCUGACGACAGCCAUGCAGCACCUAUACAGAAGUCCUUUCGGAAAAUAACAUUUCUGUUAUCGCCCUCUGCAUUUCGAGCCCAGGUAAGGUUCUUCGCGUAGUAUCGAAUUAAACCACAUGCUCCACUGCUUGUGCGGGCCCCCGUCAAUUCUUUUGAGUUUCACCCUUGCGAGCGUACUCCUCAGGCGGUGUACUUAACGCGUUAGCUACGACACAGCUAGGGUUGAGCCUAGCUACAUCAAGUACACAUCGUUUACGGCAAGGACUAC